UGAACGCUGGCGGCGUGCCUAAUACAUGCAAGUCGAGCGAACAGACGAGGAGCUUGCUCCUCUGACGUUAGCGGCGGACGGGUGAGUAACACGUGGAUAACCUACCUAUAAGACUGGGAUAACUUCGGGAAACCGGAGCUAAUACCGGAUAAUAUAUUGAACCGCAUGGUUCAAUAGUGAAAGACGGUUUUGCUGUCACUUAUAGAUGGAUCCGCGCCGCAUUAGCUAGUUGGUAAGGUAACGGCUUACCAAGGCGACGAUGCGUAGCCGACCUGAGAGGGUGAUCGGCCACACUGGAACUGAGACACGGUCCAGACUCCUACGGGAGGCAGCAGUAGGGAAUCUUCCGCAAUGGGCGAAAGCCUGACGGAGCAACGCCGCGUGAGUGAUGAAGGUCUUCGGAUCGUAAAACUCUGUUAUUAGGAAAGAACAAAUGUGUAAGUAACUAUGCACGUCUUGACGGUACCUAAUCAGAAAGCCACGGCUAACUACGUG
rnacentral:rRNA from 1 species